GCAAGGUAAAUGUAAAGGAUCAACAAUAAUGCUGAGAGCUGACAACAGAAUCAUCAAAAUCUUGGUACCUGAUUGAAAAAAAUAACUAUCAACCAAUAAAUCAAUCCCUUGUGGAAAAUAUGCUUAGAAAAUGAAAGUGAAGUAGAAACAUUUUCAGUUAAACAAAAGUAAGAUACUUUUUCACCAUCAGACCCACAAUGAAAGCAAUAAAAGUGAAUAUUCUUCUUUAGGUGGAAGAAAAAUGACUCCAUGUGGAAGCUCAGAGAUGCUCCCAAGAGAAACAAAAAUGGAAUUAAAGAUUAUAUUUUGGAGAACAAAGUAACAAUCUCUGUGGAACAUUUGCCUUAAAAUAUGUGUUUAUUAAACACCAACCCGAACAGGAUUAUCCAUUUCCAUAUAAGUCUUCACAUUUAAAACGUCUCACUUGUUGAGGGUGUGCCAAGCCCUAUCAAUGUUCCAAAGGGAGGGAUCUCAGUCUGCAC